rnacentral:rRNA from 1 species
AGAGGAAACUAAUCUCCCAAAAGCCGUCUCAGUUCGGAUUGUUCUCUGCAACUCGAGAGCAUGAAGUCGGAAUCGCUAGUAAUCGUGGAUCAGCAUGCCACGGUGAAUACGUUCCCGGGUCUUGUACACACCGCCCGUCACACCAUGGGAGUUGGUUUUACCCGAAGGCCGUGUGCUAACUACGGAGGCAGCGGACCACGGUAGGGUCAGCGACUGGGGUGAAGUCGUAACAAGGUAACCGUAA